rnacentral:rRNA from 1 species
AUGAACGCUGGCGGCGUGCCUAAUCACUUCCAGUCGCGCGAACAGAUGAGGAGCUUGCUCCUCUGACGUUAGCGGCGGACGGGUGAGUAACACGUGGAUAACCUACCUAUAAGACUGGGCAAACUUCGGGAAACCGGAGCUAAUACCGGAUAAUAUAUUGAACCGCAUGGUUCAAUAGUGAAAGACGGUUUUGCUGCCAUUUAUAGAUGGAUCCGCGCCGCAUUAGCUAGUUGGUUAGGUAACGGCUUACCAAGGCAACGAUGCGUAGCCGACCUGAGAGGGUGAUCGGCCACACUGGAACUGAGACACGGUCCAGACUCCUACGGGAGGCAGCAGUAGGGAAUCUUCCGCAAUGGGCGAAAGCCUGACGGAGCAACGCCGCGUGAGUGAUGAAGGUCUUCGGAUCGUAAAACUCUGUUAUUAGGGAAGAACAAAUGUGUAAGUAACUAUGCACGUCUUGACGGUACCUAAUCAGAAAGCCACGGCUAACUACGUG